rnacentral:lncRNA from 1 species
UUAUGGUUCCCUCUGUGAAUGCAUGAGUUAAUAGUAAUUCAGUGGGAUCAUUGUUUUAAAAUCAAUUAUUUUAUGACUCCCUAAAUCCUAAAUAUCUCAAAAAUACUCCAACAUGUUGUAGAUGUGUUACUUGGAUUACUUCCUAGAAAAAUGAAAGCAUGCUGUUAUUUUAAAGCAGCAGUAUUUAACCAAAGAAGACCCUUGUGUGUUUCAAUUAAAUUUUAAUAUAAUCAUAAAUCUGGACUGGUUUUGAUAAGUUUUAGUUUUUUUAUUUUAACAUAUUGCGUAAUUUUUGUCUCAAAGUGUCUCAGGUAAAAACAAAGUAAAUAUAAAAUUAUUUCAGUUUGGGUAUACAACAAAAUUUUAAAAUCAGAAUUGUGCACAUUACUAGAUUAUCAGUUGAAAUUAAAUGCAUAUCAGAUAGGUGUAGCAAUAAGUGUAAAAAUAGGGAAUACUGGAAUUUAUCUUUGAAGAAAACAAGAAAUUGAAAUACACAUACAAAUAAGUAAAUGAAAUACAUUCAUACAUAUACCUAAAUGUACAGAAACAUAAUUAUUUACUAUGCAAAUUGAUCAAAAUUUGUCACUUUAUAGGCAAGUUAAAAUUACAGGUAAAUGAAAAAUAAAGAGGUAAAAUCCUCUAUAAACAAACAUCAUGGUAACCUGUAAAGCACCCCACUUCACAUAAUGCAAUUUUGCAGAGUAUACAUUGGAAACUUGUUUCAAUGGCCUGUCUACUGAGAGCUGUUCUUUUUUGAUGAUGGUAUUCAUGGCACUACCUUUUGUGACCCUCAAUUUAUGGUGAUUUGCUGAAAUCAUUGGGAUGUCUUUCUAGCAGGUUUUCGUUUUUCUCCUAACAGUUUUUUUUUUUUUAAGAAAAACCAGCUCUCAACUGCAUUGCUACAUCUGAUUGGAACAGCAGACAGUCACAUCACCUUCGAGCCCCUCCUUCAUUUGUUAAUAUAGUAUAAAUGCGUUAACUAUUAUCAGGUUCACUAUAUACCAAUUGAUUUGUCUCUUGUUUCUGUAUGCAAAUUUCCUUUCUGCUGUUGGAUUAUUUUUUUUUGACAUCCCUUUCCUACUUGUAACACAUGUUGCCACAGCUUCUAAAUUUACUGCAGGUUUGACCAAAAUGCAAAAAAAAAAAUGUAGCCCUGGUUAUGGUAUGGGAGUUUUUAAUUCCAGACCAUAUUGUACCUUAACCUGUGCUGGCUUACAUUGCCUUUCUUCCUUGUAUAAAACCGAAUCCACCUUGAUCACCUAUUUUGGUUGGUUUUCCAGGCAUGUACUGUCAGAUGUAUUCUGCUUUUGUAUCGCCCCAUACCCUCAUCGAUAGACAGGUAUCUCCCUGGGUUAUAGAAUGUUUUAUAAGUGUUUUGAAUGCAGUUGAUGAGGAGCCUUAUUUUAGAUGAGAUGAAAUUUUGGUUCUCUACAUACUGGUGCACAGCUAUUUAAAUACUGCAAUUUUUUUAAUCUUGUCCUUGCCAUGAUACCAAAAGGGUUUGGUCACUUCUCCAGUAGUUGGUUAUUCAGGUUAACUUCCUUAUUCCCAUUAUCAUAGCAAAAAAAAGCUCAGAUUUCAUUUAAGCAUGUAGGAGGCCACAAAUGGUUUCUUUUGUUGCAUUAUUUACAUUCUGCAUAUUGAUUAGUUUCCACAGUAAUUGCAUGAAACCAACUAGGAGGAAAAAUAUUUUAAAAAUAGGUUAAUGGUUUUGCCUCUUGGGAAAGACUGUGAUUAGGUCCAGUCUCUUCAGAAAAAUUUGUAAGAGAAAGUUUUUAGACAUUUGUUGCACUUACUUACAAAUUCAUUUCCUUUGUUGCUGUGUGAAUUUUUGUCUGAAUCACGUUCACUUUCAGAAAUGGAAAUAUCUGAUUCCUUUUCACAAGCCAUGUGGUUUUUGUGUUUGCUGAAUAUUUUGUUUGACUUUUCCAUUUCUUCGGUUGAAAACUUUCAAAUUCCAGUUCACUUCUUGACAACAUAAAUCUGUUACCCAUUUGUCAGUAUUUUAAUAUUUUCAAAGCAACACCAAAAAAAUGU